GAGGCCGCGCGGAGCCGCGUAGGGAUACGCCGGCGGGAGCACGCGGUGCCGCAGCCCUUCCCUGCGCCCCCGCCACCCCCUCCACCCCGCCGGCUCCGCUCCACCGAAAUUCCCCUCCUAGGGCCAAUAGCUCACAUUUCCGGCUUCCUCCUCAUUGUACUGGGUCAUUUUCGUUUAAGCGUCAAUAUUUGUCCUUAGUGAUUAAAGUUUGUAUCCAAUUUUAUUUUUGAAAGCGGGGGUGGUGGUGGUAGUGGGAAGAGUGGGAGUGCAGGGAGAGGAUGCGAGAGGGCAGGAAAUGGAGGAGGUAGAGGCGAGGCACUACUUUUCCGAGUCGGCCUUGCAGGCCAGUGUCUGGCAUUUCUGAGCCAGCAGGAAAAUUGUGCCCUUUGUAGGUAAUAGUCUAGCGCAGCUUUGGAUAAGGGGGGAGAUAAGGCCCACCGCUGGCGUGUGUGCGGGGGUGUCCUUUACUUCGGGGGAGGAGGGUGUGGGAGAGCUUUGGGAGCGAUGAGAUGAGGAGGAGGAAGUGGGCAGAGGAGCGCGGGGCCAAACAGGGGUUACUUACUCGAUUCCUGAGGCCUGGGCGGCGGCGAGCUCCGGGCUCCGGCACCGCGGGGAAACCGGGACUGGGGCUCCGGGUGCUGCUGCGGCGGCCGGGGCCGCUCAGUAGUGGGCGCCUCUGAUGGCCUUCCGAAAUGAGAGGUGCCCAGAGAGAAAACAGUACCAAACAAUCUCGAAAUAAAUCAGGUAACACAUGCUAUAUACGUGUGUCUCUUCCUUUUCCUUCUCUCCUGCUCCAGAGCGUCGCUCACGCGCGGGGUGACUCGAUGUCGUUUUCUCCUCGCCGCUCCAGCCUCAGCUUCUAAUCCGAAUUGGAAGCGGGUAGCUGCGAGCGAUCACCCUGGAAAUAUUUUCGUUUUGCUUGUUGACAUUGGAGGGAAAAUAAGGGUGGGCGUCUAUUUCUUUCCGGUUUUUUUUUUAAGCCUUCCUAUUUUCACUCCUUUUUUUUCCUUUCCGUUUCUCAAAUGCUUUUAUUUUGUGCGGGCCUCAUUCCUGAAAUAACAGUAUACUGAAGCCAGCUCUUGCCAACCCUGAGUGCUGCUGGAAAGCACCGGGGAGCCUUGGGAACGUGGAUCUCACAGUCCCAGCUUCUUGGGCUUUGGAACUGGGAAGGUUCGGUUGGAGGUUGAAGUGAAUGGGGAAAUUGCGAAUCGGGGGCUUUAAAAGGAUCCCGUGGCCAGGGGCAGGGCUAAGGCCCAGCAUUUCCCAGGGAUUGGAAUUUAGUGGGGAGCACAUUGAUCAAAGGCUGUUUCAUCCCACAUGGGCACGAAACAUACCACAUUUUACGGAGGAUGUAGCCCCAGAGAAGAGGGAGGUGGAGAAGCAUAAAUGAAAGGCACCUUUUCCUUCCUCUAGAAGGUAAAUAAUUAUAAAAUGUAAGCAUUUCUUCACUUGGAUAAACUUUCAUUAAGAUAUCUGGCAGAUUUGGUAUUUAAGAAAACGAAGGAAGGAAAAUUGGUGCUUAUGCUUGAUCCUAAAGUUAAAUUGUAACAUAAAGAAUGCGGUUGAUGAAUACUCAGGAUAAUAGGGGGUUAUUCCAUCCUCCCCACCCCCAGUCUUAAGAAAGAGAAAGAGAGAAAAGGUUGGGGGGGGGGGAGGAAACUGGAGAGAAUAAUAGAUAAUUACAAAUAGCUAGUGAAUUUUAAAUAUGCAUCUAUUAGGAAUGCCACAAAGGAGCUUUGAAUAUUGGACUAACCUCAAAUGUCCUUCCACUGUAUGUAUGUAUCUUUACCUAUGUCUACAUAUCUUCUCACUUUAAAACAAACUGUAUUUACAUGUGGAAAAAUUCAAGGGUUCCAACAAUCAGUGUUGAUAGUGACAUGGUCCCAAACAUUUAUUUCCAAGCUCUGGAUUUCUCGCAGGGCCGGGUGAGCUAAUGGGCUUUGCCUACCGGCUGGAGAGAUUUGUGGGCCUUCCCCUUCCUACUCACUUUUCCUCCUCCCACUCUUCUCCCCUCUUCAGGCCCGUUCUUCCUACUUUUCCUCAACUCUCCUUCCUCCCUCCUCCCUCCUUCUCCCUUAGCUCCCCCCGCCCCUUCCCCCCACCCUCCAUUCCUCUGUCUCUCCAUUCCUCCACCUACUCCUCCCAAUUUCUCCUCUUACAGCCCCCCUUCUCACCACCACUUAUAAUGGCACACAGGGCUCCCUCUGAGGUGGACGGCCCGGUACGUUUUCGUAGUCGGUCUAGCGUGAAAUGAUUCGGUGUAACCGGAUUCUUGGGAAAGGACAGGUUACGUAAACAUUUACUGAUGUGGAGUAACUAUACUAUUUGUACUCUGAUAUGCAGGAAGGAAAGUGUUGAUUAACACAGAAGAAAAAAAAAACGAAAUUAGCUGAUUGCAUGCUCAUAAGUGCAAGCUGUCAUUGAACUGCUUUUAAAAUAGACACAGCUGGGUGUUUGUGUUGAAAAAUUUCUUGUGUUUUUGCUAAUACUGAAAUAAGCAUGAUUUUGUAUACCAAACAUUUUCAGAUCAUUAAAAUUUGUAAUCUGUGCUGGUUUUAAACACAAAGAAAAGAAACAGAAUCAUUUCGAUGUAAAAUUUGCUGAUAUUAUAUUAACUCAAUCAGGUCUGUACAAAUUGUGCAUUGUGCCUCCUAAAAUCUGUUUGAUCAAUUUAAUACACAAAGUGCCAAACGUGGGUAUUGUUUGUUAACAUUGGACAUUUUAUUCAAAUCCGAGCUCAGCAGCAAACUGGAGGAGCUUUCCUUCAAUACAACACCAGCUCUGACUGAUGAAUUUUUAAUGUUUUAAGGUGUUUCUUAGGUCAAAUCUGAGCGUGCAUUGUUUUGUAAUCCUGUAUAAAAUUUUAGCAGGUGGAAAUAAGUUUUUCUUCUGUUUACUUUCAAAUAGCAAAAACUGGGGUUUGCUAAUGAGCACUGUAAUAAUCUGAUUUUAUAUGCUAGGAGCUCAUAUUGACUGGGAAAAUGUUUUUCAUUCAAAUUAAGGCUAUGUUAUAUAGUUUAAGGAUUGCAUGAAUGCAAGUCUCUCAAAAUAGGAUAUUCUUAUGGGCAUAAAUAGUAUAUAGUUUAAUGUAAUAUUUAAAAAUCUAUUCUUCCUAAUGACAAAAGUUAUUUGUAAUCUGGCAAGAAGUGAGUUUUAAUUCCUUUUAAUAAUUUCAAUUGCACUUUAUGUCGAGAUGGUGAUAUAUAUAUAUACUCACACACAUAUAUAUGUGUGUGUGUGUAUAUAUGUAUAUAUAUAUAGCUUGUUCAACAAAACAUGCACUGUUUACUCAGCACCCCGUGUUUGUCUCAGCAAUAGCUUUUUUAAAGAACUGCUACUAUUUGAAAUGGAGGGGGAGGGGGGUCCUGGACAGAGUAUUGUGCAAGUUGAAAGUCUCUGGAUGGGGCUUUGUAUAUCCUACCAGCCAAUUUGGGUGCAAAUUGGAUUUGAAGGCCUGCCUCUGUCCACCUCGGGCCUCUUCCCUAAGCACUGGAAGCCCAAUCUUCAGCCCCACUCAGUCACCGUGAUUACCUUCAGAAGACAGAGGGAAUUCAGUUGUCUCAGACCUGAAACAAAUUCUCUAUCAUUCUAAUUUUUUUCUCAUGAUGGAUCUAACCUUGAUCUCUCACACAGACAUCUACAAAUGUGUACUAUUAAUGAAUAAAAGCAGAAGUCAAAGUAAAUGUAAUUUUCUGGUAUAUAUCACAGUAAACUUCUCUCUUGCUCUGUCUGCAGUCCCCCAGCUCUCCCAAAGAGGUCAGGCCCCGUAAAGAGUGAGCAGUUCCAAUGGAAGAAUUGGUUAGGAAAUGAAUUAGAUUAUUCCUUCUGGAGUUUUAAUUAAUAACCAAGGCUACACAGCAUACUUCAUCCGAGUAGGGAGCAGAACAUUUCAUUUUUCCAUUUGGCGGUGUUAUUUAAGUAUUCUUUAGGGCCUCUUUCCUGUUUUCAGUCAGUGAUCCGCCUCUUUUCUUCUUGCUAGCUGCUGGUUAAAGGAAGGUGGGCCCCAUUUACCUAAAAUCCACUCUGCUCUCCAUUCCCUGGACAGGGUGUCCUUGGAGUGGCACCCAGCGCCAAGCUCUAGCUAAAGUUCUCUUCCUGCAGAUGCACAGAGAAUUUCUGACCUUGUGACGUUUGGGAGUGAGGAGAUCCCAUACAGAGGCAUCCAGGUAUUUCCAGAGAUCCUGUGGCAGGUGAGGUCUGCCCUCGCUGGAGCCAACUCGUCUAUAAUAUCUUCCUAACAGCAGAUACUACACGAGGUGAUGAAGACAGAGUGUUGAAUAAAAUUUAGUUCCUACUCCAAUGGGACUCACAGUCUGGUGGAGGAGAUGAACACACAGUCAUAUGUAUAGCAUAAAAUCAGUGCCACACUGGAGGGUCUCACUCUAUCAUCCAGCUUGGAGUGCAGUGGUGCGAUCACAGCUCACUGCAGCCUCGACCUCAUGGCUCAACUGAUCCUCCUACCUCAGCCUCCUGAUUAGCUGGCACCACAGAACCUGGGUCUCACUCUGUCCCCUAGGCUGGAAUGCAGUGGUGUGAUCAUGGCCCACUGCAGCCUUGAACUCCUGGACCCAAGCAAUCCUCCCAUCUCAGCCUCCCAAGUAGCUGGAACUACAGGUACGGGAAAACUGGCUUAGAGAUGUUAAAUAUCCUGGAUUAUUGUCAGUUUAACAAAAUAAUUUCGGCUAUCAAAGAUCAAGUGGGAUAAAUUUCAGAGGAAGAAACUGAGCUCCUUGCGUAAGUCCUAGAAAAAACAUAAAAGGUGGUUAACUGCCUCCAUAUAAAGCUGAUUUUUUAAAAAGCUCUCAUUUUAGGUUUAGGGGUACAUAUAUGGAGUUGUUAUACAGAUAAAUUGUGUGUCAUGGGGGUUUGGUGUACAGAUUAUUUCAUCACCCUGGUAAUAAGCAUAGGACCCGAUAGGUAGUUUUCUGACCUUCUUCCUCCUCUCACCUCACCCUCAAGUAGGCACUGGUGUCUGCUGUUCUCUUCUUUGUGUCCAUGUAUACUCAAUGUUUAGCUAAUUCUAGCCUGUAAAUUUAAUCACAAAUCUCCUGUUAACAAUGCUGUGUUGCUUCCUUCUUUGGCUAUUUCAACUAUCUGCUGAUUUCUUUUCUUUUUACUACUAUUUCAUUUGCAGUGGAGCCAACCAAUCCUAACAAAAUUGAAUAGUAGAUAAAUUAUACCAUUUCAUCUGAAGAAAUACCUGUCUCAUUUUUACUUUUUCUCUCACUCUAUCCUCUACUAAAAACUGUUUUCAGAUAAACUUCUGAAACCAAUCAUUUAUAACUGGAUAUAAAUUCAAAUUAUUUUUACUUCUCAGAAUAUUAUCUCAAGCUAACUUGAAUUGGGUAAUAAAAGACAUUUUACUCUAUUAAAGAAAAGCUAGGCAUUUCCUGAAAUAUCAAUUAGUUUGGAAGCAAUUCACCUAUAUGUCAUGUGAACCCUAAAAUAAAAUAAAAAAAUCUAGACUGGUUAUGUAUAUUUUCCUGUUGAAAAAGAUCUAGAUGAUUUUUUAAAAUGCUACAUGUUACUUUCUAAUAAAUAUUUUUUAAAAAGUUGGUCACCAGACUGCCCCUAAGCAAUAAGAGAUUUCCAAAUUUUUAUAUAAAGUGGAAUUAUGAAACCUAAUUAUGUACAACUGCUGUUCUACCAUGUUUGGGCUACAUUGGUAGGAAUACCUGUUAGCUGUGCAUUGUCAAAGAUUGCUUAUACUUGGAGAUAUGAAUGUUUGGCCACUCCUAGUUGGAGCCAGGCCUAUAUUGAUCAAGGAUAAUGAAAGGAAGUACUGAUGAUGGUAUUUCUUUGACAGUUUCAGUUAACAGGAAGUAUUAGUCUGAAUUAGGGUGUAACAAAGGGAACAAUGAUUCAGUAAGUUAAAGAAGAUAGAACUGGUUUUGUCCUUUACAUAACAAUCCAAAUUGAAUGGUUCAAUUCUGCUCCAUGAAGUUAUUCAGGAAUUAAGGUUCUUUCCAUUGAUUGCAGUAUUAUCCUCUAGGACUGUCAUCUUCUGCAUGGCAGAGACAGGGUCAGCUGCCAUUCCAGCUGGUGAUAAGGGGAAAGAUAACAUGGAAGCAUACACACGGUCCUAAGACUUAGGUCCAUAAGGGACACCUAUCACAUUAAAUUCCAUGGGGAAAAGAAGUCCACUAUGAAAAGGAGGCUGGAAUAUUCCAUUUAUUCCUGCAUGCAGGAAUAAAAGGAGAGUAUCUUUUGGUAGACAACUAAUACUCUCCACUUUAUGGUUUGUGCUGUUUGUUGACCCUAUUGAAGUUUCCUGAUGAUGUGCAGUCUUUUCUUUGUGAAAAGGAUAAAGAUUGAUACGGUUUCUGAAUGGACCCUUAAAUUGGACGAAUAAUACCACCCUUAUUUUUCUGUAGACUGUGUUUUACACUUGCCUAUACUGUGAAAAAUAAUAAUCUUUUAUUGGAUAAGAGUCUCUCCAUUCUUAUUUUCUUCAACUUAUUUGGUCUCGGGAAAAUAGGACCAAUAUUAAAGCUGUCUUGUGAUUUACCUAUGCCUUGUGAAUCUGUUUCUAGUCAGUUUCACUUAGAAGGAAAAGGGCCAGAUUCUACCUCUAAUUCUGCAAGGAAAAAUACAUUCUUAGUAGAUCAGAAUACAUUUUAAUCUACCCUUUUCCUGAAUUAGAUUAAAAAAGCUUUGCUUACUAAAUAGCUUACAAAGUGUCUUCUUUUGAAAUAACCUGUACAGAUAACUUUGACAGGGAAUUUACUAGGGAAAUUAAACAAAGCUGCCUUUAUUGUUAAUGAAUAAUUCUUCAACUACAAUUUAAUAUUAGAUAUACUAUAUUUAAAAUGAAGAGAGUAAUGUUCAUUCUUGUAGGAUAGUGAUUAUUUUCUAAUUUUCUAUUAGGACCAAACUUAUGUUUUGAUGUAAUGUUGGGUUUUGUAUGUCACAAGUCUCCAGCAGAUCCAGAAAGGCCCUUUUCACCUGUUACUAUGCUCACUUACUAGCUGAUGUCUAAGUUUCUCUGCUAGAAAUUAUUUAUCUUGGCUUAAGGCUGUACCUUGCUAAAACCCAAUUAUCUGUGAAAAAAUUAACCUUUUAAACUUUAUAAUCAUUUUAUAUUUUGUUCUGGCUGAAUUUGUUGUUGAGAUUUUUGAAAAUGAGCUAGAAGAAUCCUUGAGGUGGCUGUGAGAGGGUCCACUGACUAUGGAAAUGAACACAAAAAGAUUUUUGUUUAAAAGAUGAAUUUAAUUUGUGAAUUUUCUCUCCAUUGUAGGUCACUUUGAGUUCUGGCUGUCUUACAGAGGAAAAAAUAGAGCUGAUCAUGACCAUUAUAAAAACGUAUUAUGUGCAAAAGAUGUACAUCAUUCCCUGAAUAUUUUGGUUUUUACUUCAAAUUAGAAAAUUACUGUUGUUGAUUUAAAUAAAGGACAGCAUCAACAAAAUCAUCAUGAAUUGGAAAUAGUGAAAUUUAAUUUUUAUAAAUCUGUGC
rnacentral:lncRNA from 1 species